UUUAUAAACGCCCUUCUCCUGUAAGCAUUAAUUCAUCCCAGCAACUUGUAGUGUAAGGAUCAUCGUAGAGUUUCUUCACGAUAUCAUCUGUUACCAUGGCAAUAACAAUCAAAUUCACCAUGACGUUGUUUCUUCUGGUGUUUGCUUCGUUUCCUAAAGACUCAUUAACUCAGGCCGGAGAAAUCAAAGAAUGCUAUGAUAACUACAGUGACUGCAUCUCAAUUUGGGGUCUAAAUGGACAAGUUCAGAAAGCGACCGCCUGCGAAAGAUUCUGUGAGGUAUUCGGAUACCCAAGGGGCGUGUGUGCGGCAAAUGACUGCAUUCCAAGAUUGUCAGCCGGUAACAUUAAGAGUGGAACUUCCUGCACAUGUACGAAGUCGUUACUAAAUGGAUAACGACUGAACGAUAAGCGCGUAAGAGGAAGUAAACAUUCAUAUUAUCCUCUUUUAUAUUUGCUUUAAAACUUUGUUACUUUUAAAAUUGAAAAAAAAGGCUUUUAUGUAUGAAUUGGAAUUAAAAUAAAACUU